AAAUGUCUAACCUACUUCACUCCCAAGUAAAAAUGUCCAAACCGCAUCUCAAGUGUCAAUGUUUUAUAUAGCUACCGAUAUUUUCCAGCGCUGCCUCGAGCCCUUGGGGGUGAAGUUCAUCAGAGCUUCAUAACUCGCCAGAGGUAUCCUUGCAGCAUUCGCCGCAACUUUGAUGUCACGGUCAUCUUGAUUCAAUCCACGUCUUUAAACGGGUCCUUUUGAGGACUUGCUUGAGCCUUCGAAAGAGGGGAAAAAUAUACGUUCGCGGUAUGUCAUAAAGGAGAUUACAGCUUCGGAUGCAAAACGUUGAGGACAUCACGGCUAAUCCCAGCCGACCUGUUUGAUGGAGGCUCUACUCUUGCAUCCAGUAAAAGAUGUUAUUGAA